rnacentral:rRNA from 1 species
UACGUAGGGGGCAAGCGUUGUCCGGAAUCAUUGGGCGUAAAGAGCGUGUAGGCGGUUCGAUAAGUCGGCUGUGAAAGUCCAGGGCUCAACCCUGGGAUGCCGGUCGAAACUGUCGGACUAGAGUUCGGAAGAGGCGAGUGGAAUUCCCGGUGUAGCGGUGAAAUGCGCAGAUAUCGGGAGGAACACCAAUGGUGAAGGCAGCUCGCUGGGACGUUACUGACGCUGAGACGCGAAAGCGUGGGGAGCAAACAGG